GGAUUGUGGCUCAGCGGUAGAGCGCCUGCUUCGAACGUGCGAGACCCUGGGUUCGAUCCUCAGCACCA
rnacentral:tRNA from 1 species